rnacentral:lncRNA from 1 species
AUGGAUUUUUGCUUUGAUCUCAGUUUUCCGGCGAUUUCCGGUCGAAUUUCUUUGGGUUUUGCUCGUUUUGAUCGGUGGAGGAAGAUUUGAAGGUGUUUGAGACUGUGAACAAUACUGUGAACAGACGUACUGAGCCCUCGAGCGAGGAGGACACCGGCAGGCAGCAGGGUUAGCUGCGGGAUUCACUUAUUUCAGAUUAGCAGAGGUUGCGUCCAGGCUCAAGGACUUUGGGAAUCAGCGCUUCCGUUUUUGUCCGUAGG